CGCGAUUCUGCCCCAGAGAGUGCAUUUGGUAAGGUGCAAUCAGCGCUGAUAAAUUAUCUGUGGAUUUUUCUGAACCCCAGGAACGGCAGUUUUUCUUAUUGUUAAAGCCAUUUAAAUGAAUGAAUGACAUGAUGAGUUGAUGAAUAAAUUCAUUGUUUUCUCUUGCCUUAUUCAUUGUUCCUUUGUGAAACUACCCACGAUGAAUCCCCAAAGACUCAGUUACAAAUUUUUUACCUGUAAAAUCCUACUCUGAAUUUUGGCUCCUGUAAAUUGAGAUUUGUAAG